GGAAUAUCUAUACAUGUUGUUUUUUUUUGACCUAAAAUUGGCCGUUCAAUUGAAGCGAAAGCCCUGACAAUUUUUUUUUUGGGUCAUAUAUGUGCUUGUAAAUUUUUAAUAGUAGUGAUUAAGUUUAAAUAUUGGGUAAGCUUAGAUUUAGGUAAAAAAUUUAAGCUAAAUGAAUUUUGUGCCAGCAAUUGCGGUUAUACAAAAUAGCUGAGUUUGAGUCUUUGGUUAUAUUUAAUAGAUUUAAAAAAAUUAAUUUAAAUUAUUAAGUGAAAUUUUAAUUUAUUUUAAAGAUUAAAUUUUAUGAAGCUAAAAAAUUUUUUUUUAAACUAGGAUUAGAUACCCUAUUAUUUUAAAUGUAAAAAAUUUACCAAAUUAUUAAUAGUUAAGUUCUUUAAAAUUAAUCUAUUUGGCGGUAUUUUAUUCUUAUUAGAGGAACCUGUUCUAUAAUUGAUAUUCCACGUUUUUUUAUACUUAAUUUAGAAAUUUAUAUAUCGUUGUUUAAAAAAUUUUUAAAAAAUUAAAUUUUUAAAAUUUUAAAUUAAAAAUUAAUUCAAAUCAAGGUGUAGUUUAUAAUUAAGUUGAAAUGGGUUACAAUUUAUUUAAUAAUUAGAUAAAUAAAAUUGUUUAAUUUUGAAAUUGGAUUUAAUAGUAAUUUAUUAAAGAUAUUUUAAAUGAAUAAGCUCUGAAAUAUGUACAUAUUGCCCGUCGCUUUCAUUUUAAAAUGAAAUAAGUCGUAACAUAGUAGAUUUACUGGAAAGUGAAUCUUGAAUCAA
rnacentral:ncRNA from 1 species